rnacentral:rRNA from 1 species
CAGGGCCUACGGGACGCAGCAGUGGGGAAUAUUGCGCAAUGGGCGAAAGCCUGACGCAGCGACGCCGCGUGAGGGAUGAAGGUCUUCGGAUCGUAAACCUCUGCCAGCAGGGAAGAACGGUCACUGUGCUAAUCAGCAGUGAAUUGACGGUACCUGCAAAGGAAGCACCGGCUAACUCCGUGCCAGCAGCCGCGGUAAUACGGAGGGUGCGAGCGUUAAUCGGAAUUACUGGGCGUAAAGGGCGUGUAGGCGGGGACGCAAGUCAGAUGUGAAAA